GCGUGAGGGAAGACGGCCUUCGGGUUGUAAACCUCUUUUAGUAGGGAAGAAGCGAAAGUGACGGUACCUGCAGAAAAAGCACCGGCUAACUACGUGCCAGCAGCCGCGGUAAUACGUAGGGUGCAAGCGUUGUCCGGAAUUAUUGGGCGUAAAGAGCUCGUAGGCGGUUUGUCGCGUCUGCUGUGAAAACUGGAGGCUCAACCUCCAACCUGCAGUGGGUACGGGCAGACUAGAGUGCGGUAGGGGAGAUUGGAAUUCCUGGUGUAGCGGUGGAAUGCGCAGAUAUCAGGAGGAACACCGAUGGCGAAGGCAGAUCUCUGGGCCGUAACUGACGCUGAUGAGCCAAAG
rnacentral:rRNA from 1 species